rnacentral:rRNA from 1 species
UACGUAGGGUGCAAGCGUUGUCCGGAAUUAUUGGGCGUAAAGAGCUCGUAGGCGGUCUGUCGCGUUGUUCGUGAAAACCGGGGGCUUAACCCUCGGCGUGCGGGCGAUACGGGCAGACUUGAGUACUGCAGGGGAGACUGGAAUUCCUGGUGUAGCGGUGGAAUGCGCAGAUAUCAGGAGGAACACCGGUGGCGAAGGCGGGUCUCUGGGCAGUAACUGACGCUGAGGAGCGAAAGCGUGGGGAGCGAACAGG